GACGAACGCUGGCGGCGUGCUUAACACAUGCAAGUCGAACGGAAAGGCCCUGCUUUUGUGGGGUGCUCGAGUGGCGAACGGGUGAGUAACACGUGAGUAACCUGCCCUUGACUUUGGGAUAACUUCAGGAAACUGGGGCUAAUACCGGAUAGGAGCUCCUGCUGCAUGGUGGGGGUUGGAAAGUUUCGGCGGUUGGGGAUGGACUCGCGGCUUAUCAGCUUGUUGGUGGGGUAGUGGCUUACCAAGGCUUUGACGGGUAGCCGGCCUGAGAGGGUGACCGGCCAAAUGGGGACUGGGAUACGGCCCAAGCCUCUACGGGAGGGAGCAGUGGGGAAUUUUGAAAAAUGGGCGGAAGCCUGAUGCAGCAACGCCGGGGGCGGGAAGACGGCCUUCGGGUUGUAAACCGCUUUCGCCUGGGAAGAAGCGGGGGGGACGGGAAUGGGUAAAGAAGCACCGGCAAACUACGG
rnacentral:rRNA from 1 species